rnacentral:rRNA from 1 species
CCUACGGGACGCAGCAGUGGGGAAUAUUGCACAAUGGGGGGAACCCUGAUGCAGCGACGCCGCGUGGGUGAAGAAGUCAUUCGUGACGUAAAGCCCUAUCAGCAGGGAAGAAAAUGACGGUACCUGACUAAGAAGCCCCGGCUAACUACGUGCCAGCAGCCGCGGUAAUACGUAGGUGGCAAGCGUUGUCCGGAUUUACUGGGUGUAAAGGGCGUGCAGCCGGGCCGACAAGUCAGAUGUGAAAUCCGCGGGCUAAACCCGCGAACUGCAUUUGAAACUAUUGGUCUUGAGUACCGGAGAGGUCA